UUAUCAUAACACUGUGACUUCAACAUUCUUCCUUUUAAGAAUCAAGAACAUUAUUUAGGCGACACUGUGAAGAUGAACUCUUCUCCAGGCUUAGUGACUGUGAUGUUCUUGUUGCUUGGAAGAACCUGUGGAAACUCCGUGACCCAGAGGGAAGGUAAAGUGACCCUCUCAGAAAGGGAUUUCCUGAAAAUAAAUUGCACUUAUACAGCCUCAGGGUACCCUACCCUUUCCUGGUACAUCCAGUAUCCUGGUGAAGGUCCUCAGUUACUCCUGAAAGCUGCAAAGGCUGAUAGUGAAGGAAUCAACAAAGGUUUUGAAGCAAGGGGUGAGGAGCCAACAGAAGGAGGUGGAGCAGAAUCCUGAAUUUCUCCCUGUUUCUGAGGAAGCCAUGGCCUCUCUCAACUGUUCUUAUAGUAAUAGUGCUAAUCUGUACUUCAUGUGGUAUAGACAAUAUUCCUGGAAAGGCCCUGAGUUGUUGGUGUCCAUAUACUCGGGCAAUGAAGA